rnacentral:rRNA from 1 species
AAUAUUGCACAAUGGGGGAAACCCUGAUGCAGCAACGCCGCGUGAGCGAUGAAGGCCUUCGGGGCGUAAAGCCCUGUCCUAAGGGAAGAUAAUGACGGUACCUUAGGAGGAAGCCCCGGCUAACUCCGUGCCAGCAGCCGCGGUAAUACGUAGGGGGCAAGCGUUAUCCGGAAUCAUUGGGCGUAAAGGGUGCGUAGGCUGCCCUAUAGGUCAGAGGUCAAAGGGUACGGCUCAACCGUAGUAAGCCUUUGAAACUGGAGGGCUUGAGUGCAGGAGAGGAGAGUGGAAUGCCUAGUGUAGCGGUGAAAUGCAUAGAUAUUAGGAGGAACACCAGUGGCGAAGGCGACUCUCUGGCCUGCAACUGACGCUGAGGCACGAAAGCGUGGGUAGCGAACA